rnacentral:rRNA from 1 species
CACCUGUUUCCAUGCCGAACACAGAAGUUAAGCUCCUUAGCGUCGAUGGUAGUCGAACUUACGUUCCGCUAGAGUAGAACGUUGCCAGGCA